AUGCUCCGCGCCUGCGGCGCCGCGGCUCCGGCGUCUGUGCCUGCCCUCGUCAGGGCGCGCCUCGCGAGGCCCGCCUCCGCCUCCGCCGUCGCCUCCUCCUCCGCCCUGGAAGAGCUCGCCGCCGACCGCAAAGGUUUGGCGAGAGUGGUACUAAAGAAGGGCAAGACUCAGAUAUUCCGAGAUGGGAGUCCAAUGGUGUACAGUGGUGCUGUUGAUAGAAUAAUUGGACGGCCUCCUCCGAAAACUGGUGAUGUUGUUUUGGUAGCUGAUGGGUCAGAGAAACCUAUCGGGUGGGGUGUCUAUAACUCCGUGUCUAUGUUUUGUGUUCGGCUAAUGCAACUAGAAGAAGAGGCAAAAAGAGAUCCAGCCUCUGCAUUAAAUAUGGAAAGACUGCUCGAAGAAAGACUUUGUUCUGCGGUGGAUUUACGGCGUAGUUUGGGUUUCCCCUCAACUAAUACAAAUGCUUACCGUCUCAUCAAUAGUGAAGGCGACAGAUUAUCUGGUCUGAUAGUGGAUAUAUUUGCUGAUGUUGCUGUGAUUGCUUCAUCUGCUGCUUGGGUUGAGAAAUAUAGGCAACAAAUCCAGUCCCUUGUUAGCAAAGUUAGUGAUGUUAAACAUAUAAAGUGGAGGUCAUCAACUGAUAUUCUAAAAGAAGAAGGAUUAGAUAUGUCAGAACAAAAAGAACCUGCACCCUCUUCAUACUCUGGAACUGUGAAGGUUAUGGAAAAUGGCAUCGUCUAUCUAGUCUCUAUGGAGGGGCAGAAGACAGGUUUUUAUGCAGAUCAACGGGAAAGUCGCCACUUCAUAUCCACACUCUCAAAGGACCAGAGGGUUCUGGACCUUUGCUGUUACAGUGGUGGUUUUGCUCUUAGUGCAGCCAAGGGCGGUGCAACUAAUGUUACUGGCAUUGAUUCAUCAGGAUCUGCACUAGAUCUUGCCAAUGAGAAUAUUCUUCUAAAUAAGCUUGAUGCUGAGAGAAUUUCAUUCUUAAAAGAAGAUGCAACUGCAUUCAUGAAAGGUGCUAUCUCAAGAAAUGAGCUGUGGGACUUGGUAAUCCUGGAUCCUCCAAAGUUGGCACCUCGGAAGAAGGUGCUACAAAGUGCAUCCGGUAUGUACAGAAGCCUGAAUGCUCUUGCAAUGCAAGUGGUAAAGCCAGGGGGGUUACUCAUGACAUGCUCUUGUUCUGGAGCUAUGACCCAAAGUGGUCUCUUCCUUAAAACCAUUCAGGUAUUUUGUGUUGCCCACAUGGAUUCUUGGGUCCUAUUUACUCAAACCUAG
rnacentral:rRNA from 1 species